rnacentral:rRNA from 1 species
CAGUCGCCACGGGAAUACGGAGGGUGCAAGCGUUAAUCGGAAUUACUGGGCGUAAAGCGCACGCAGGCGGUUUGUUAAGUCAGAUGUGAAAUCCCCGGGCUCAACCUGGGAACUGCAUUUGAAACUGGCAAGCUAGAGUCUCGUAGAGGGGGGUAGAAUUCCAGGUGUAGCGGUGAAAUGCGUAGAGAUCUGGAGGAAUACCGGUGGCGAAGGCGGCCCCCUGGACGAAGACUGACGCUCAGGUGCGAAAGCGUGGGGAGCAAACAGGAUUAGAUACCCCGGUAGUCCCUGUCUCUUAUAC